GAUGAACGCUAGCGGGAGGCUUAACACAUGCAAGUCGAGGGGCAGCAUAGGGUAGCAAUACUCUGAUGGCGACCGGCGCACGGGUGAGUAACGCGUAUGCAACCUAUCCUGUACUGGAAGAUAACCCGGAGAAAUUCGGACUAAUAUUCCAUGAUGAUAUUGAGAGGCAUCUUUUAAUAUUUAAAGUUACGACGGUACGGGCUGGGCAUGCGUAACAUUAGCUAGUUGGUAGGGUAACGGCCUACCAAGGCCACGAUGUUUAGGGGUCCUGAGAGGGUGAUCCCCCACACUGGUACUGAGACACGGACCAGACUCCUACGGGAGGCAGCAGUGAGGAAUAUUGGUCAAUGGGCGCAAGCCUGAACCAGCCAUCCCGCGUGAAGGAAGAAGGCGCUAUGCGUUGUAAACUUCUUUUCCAGGGGAAUAAAAUUUUGUACGUGUACGGAAUUGAAGGUACCCUGGGAAUAAGCAUCGGCUAACUCCGUG
rnacentral:rRNA from 1 species